rnacentral:rRNA from 1 species
GAUCAUGGCUCGGGAUGAACGCUAGCUACAGGCUUAACACAUGCAAGUCGAGGGGCGAGCAUGGUCUUAGCUUGCUAAGGCUGAUGGCGACCGGCGGCACGGGUGAGUAACACGUAUCCAACCUGCCGUCUACUCUUGGCCAGCCUUCUGAAAGGAGAUUAAUCCAGGAUGGGAUCAUGAGUUCACAUGUCCGCAUGAUUAAAGGUAUUUUUCCGGUAGACGAUGGGGGAUCGG